UGGGGAAUAUUGCACAAUGGGCGAAAGCCUGAUGCAGCAACGCCGCGUGAGUGAUGAAGGCCUUCGGGUUGUAAAGCUCUGUCUUUUGGGACGAUAAUGACGGUACCAAAGGAGGAAGCCACGGCUAACUACGUGCCAGCAGCCGCGGUAAUACGUAGGUGGCAAGCGUUGUCCGGAUUUACUGGGCGUAAAGGAUGCGUAGGCGGAUUUUUAAGUGAGAUGUGAAAUACCCGGGCUUAACUUGGGUGCUGCAUUUCAAACUGGGAAUCUAGAGUGCGGGAGAGGAGAAUGGAAUUCCUAGUGUAGCGGUGAAAUGCGUAGAGAUUAGGAAGAACACCAGUGGCGAAGGCGAUUCUCUGGACCGUAACUGCCGCUGAGGCAUGAAAGCGUGGGUAGCAAACAGGAUUAGAUACCCUGGUAGUCCACGCCGUAAACGAUGAGUACUAGGUGUAGGAGGUAUCGACCCCUUCUGUGCCGCAGUUAACACAAUUAAGUACUCCGCCUGGGAAGUACGAUCGCAAGAUUAAAACUCAAAGGAAUUGACGGGGGUCAUAGCUGUUUUU
rnacentral:rRNA from 1 species